GACGAACGCUGGCGGCGUGCCUAAUACAUGCAAGUAGGACGCAGUUGCGAACGGGUGAGUAACGCGUAGGUAACUACCUAUUAGAGGGGGAUAACUAUUGGAAACGAUAGCUAAUACCGCAUACUAGUAGAUGGACCUGCGUUGUAUUCGCUAGUAGGUGGGGUAAUGGACUACCUAGGCAAGGAUAGAUAGACGAACUGAGAGGGUGAACGGCCACACUGGGAAUGAGAAUGGGCCCAGACACUUACGGGAGGCAGCAGUAGGGAAUCGUCGGCAAUGGGGGGAACCCUGACCGAGCAACGCCGCGGGAGUGAAGAAGGUUUUCGGAUCGUAAAGCGAUGUUGGUAAGGAAGCGGUACUUAACCAGAAAGGGACGGCUAACUACGUGCCAGCAGCCGCGGUAAUUC
rnacentral:rRNA from 1 species